rnacentral:rRNA from 1 species
CCUACGGGUGGCAGCAGUGAGGAAUAUUGGUCAAUGGACGAGAGUCUGAACCAGCCAAGUAGCGUGAAGGAUGACUGCCCUAUGGGUUGUAAACUUCUUUUAUAUGGGAAUAAAAUGUUCCACGUGUGGGAUUUUGUAUGUACCAUAUGAAUAAGGAUCGGCUAACUCCGUGCCAGCAGCCGCGGUAAUACGGAGGAUCCGAGCGUUAUCCGGAUUUAUUGGGUUUAAAGGGAGCGUAGGUGGAUUGUUAAGUCAGUUGUGAAAGUUUGCGGCUCAACCGUAAAAUUGCAGUUGAAACUGGCAGUCUUGAGUACAGUAGAGGUGGGCGGAAUUCGUGAUGUAGCGGUGAAAUGCUUAGAUAUCACGAAGAACUCCGAUUGCGAAGGCAGUUCACUGGACUGCAACUGACACUGAGGCUCGAAAGUGUGGGUAUCAAACAGGAUUAGAUACCCUAGUAGUC